UUGGGACUGGGCCUAAUUCUGUCCACUUCAAUCAUUUAGUUCAGAUUUCAGUUUGAACCUUCAGCUCACAGCUUUUAUUCUUUAUUCAGAUUGGAGCGCUGCAGUUUGUCAGAGAUCAGCUGUUCUUCUCUGGBCUCAGCUCUGAAGUCCAACCCCUCCCAUCUGACUGAACUGGACCUGAGCUGGAACAGCCUUCACGCUCCAGAUGUUCAGCAGCUGUUGGAUCUUGUGGAGAGUCCAGACUACAAACUUCAGACUCUGAGCUGAAGUUGUGCAGCUUCAACAUGUAUCUGACUGUUUGACUGCAGUUGUUGUGGAAACUUUUUUCCUAAAUGAACGUUGAUUUCUUCAUUUUGGACCUGAAAAUGUUUUCUUUCCCUCAUAAAGCUGUGAAGUGUUGAAUAAAGUGAGUCUUGUUUGUCCUGA